rnacentral:pre_miRNA from 1 species
AAAGUACUCCCUCCGUUCCAAAUUACUUGUCAUAGAAAUGGAUGUGUCUAGAACUAAAAUACAUCUAGAUACAUCCAUACCCGCGACAAGUAAUUCGGAACGGAGGGAGUAUUUC